rnacentral:rRNA from 1 species
GACGAACGCUGGCGGCGUGCCUAACACAUGCAAGUCAAUUUGACUGAAGGAGCAAUCUGACAGUAGAGUGGCGCAAGGGUGCGUAACGCGUAAGUAACUUGCCCCAAGGUAAGGAAUAACGUCGAGAAAUCGGCGCUAAUACCUCAUAAUGCAGCGGAUCCGCAUGGAUAUGUUGUUAAAGGUUUACCGCCUUGGGAUAGGCUUGCGUCUGAUUAGUUAGUUGGUGUGGUAACGGCACACCAAGGCUACGAUCAGUAACUGGUCUGAGAGGAUGAUCAGUCACACUGGAACUGAGACACGGUCCAGACUCCUACGGGAGGCAGCAGUGAGGAAUAUUGGGCAAUGCUCGAAAGAGUGACCCAGCAACGCCGCGUGGAGGAUGAAGGUAUUCUAUAUCGUAAACUCCUGUGAGAGCAGACGAAAGACAGAUUAUAAUCUGGAUGACUGUAUGCUCAGA